UAGGGAAUAUUAGAAAUGGACGAAAGUCUGAUCUAGCAACACCGCGUGUGCGAUGAAGGCCUUCGGGUCGUAAAGCACUUUUUGGAAGGAAUAGGAAGGAAUGUACUUCCAGAAUAAGUCUCGGCUAACUACGUGCCAGCAGCCGCGGUAACACGUAGGAGGCAAACGUUAUCCGGAUUUACUGGGCGUAAAGCGCGUGUAGGUGGUACUGUAAGUAGGGCGUGAAAGCUCCUGGCUCAACUGGGAGAGGCCGUUCUAAACUACAGAACUAGAGGAUGGUAGAGGGGGGUGGAAUUCCAGGUGUAGCGGUGGAAUGCGCAGAUAUCUGGAGGAACACCGGUGGCGAAGGCGGCCUCCUGGGCCAUUCCUGACACUCAGACGCGAAAGCUAGGGUAGCAAACGG
rnacentral:rRNA from 1 species